AUUGAACGCUAGCGGGAUGCCUUACACAUGCACGUCGAACGAGUGGCGGACGGGUGAGUAAUAUCUCGGAACGUGCCCAGUAGCGGGGGAUAACUACUCGAAAGAGUGGCUAAUACCGCAUACCAUUGGAGGGGCCACUAUCGGCUUAGCUGGUUGGUGGUGUAAAGGCUAACCAAGGCAACGAUCCGUAGCUGGUUUGAGAGGACGACCAGCCACACUGGAACUGAGACAAGGCCCAGACGCCUACGGGAGGAAGCAGUGGGGAAGUUUGGACAAGUGGGGAAACCCGUAUCCAGCCAUCCGGCGUGUAUGAGAAGGCCUUCGGGUUGUAAAGUACUUUUGGCGGAGAAGCGGUAUCUGCAGAAUAAGCACCGGCUAACUACGUGCCAGCCGCCGCGGUAAUAC
rnacentral:rRNA from 1 species